rnacentral:lncRNA from 1 species
CUUGGGCCACUCCCGUGGCAUAUGGAGGGCCCCAGGCUAGUGGUCUAAUCGGAGCUGCAGCUGCCAGCCUAUACCACAGCCACAGCAACGCGGGAUCCAAGCCGAGUCUGCAACCUACACCACAGUUCACGGCAACGCCGGACUGUUAACCCACUGAGCAAGGGCAGGGACCGAACCCGCAACCUCAUGGUUCCUAGUCGGAUUCGUUAACCACUGCGCCACGACGGGAACUCCUAUAGGAGUGGCCAGCUUGCUGGAGAAUAACAUCAAUUUCAAAUUCUUGGCUUGGGUAUAGAAUUCAUAGGCCGGCCACUUCUUCCAUUUGGCAGAGACAAAAUCAAGUCCAUCGGAUGGUGGCUUUGCAUGUCCAUACUUGUCAGCGUGACCAAAGCACAGCCUUAAGGGAGCAAAGGCUACAGCAAGAUGAAGAAGUUCAAACUCAAAAGUGAGAUUCACUGGUUUCAAGGAAUUUUUUUUUUUUUAAAUGAGACUCUCAUUCCUUAAAGACAUACCCUCAACUGAAAAUACACACGCCAAAACCAAAACAACCCAAAAAAACCCCACCAUGAAUUACUCUUUCACCAAAUUCCUACAAAACCACGGUGGAUCAGCCUAUUCAUAAGAAAAUGACGUCUUCCACAGCAUGUAUCUCAAGCAAAAACUAAGCUGGGCAAAUAGUCAAGCCUAUUUUCUUUACUGUUCUAGGACAUUUCAUGGUGUCUAUUUCUCAGUAUUGGGUUUCUAAUUAAACUGGAUUUGCUUAGGUUUGUUUGAAAUGGUAUGUAUAUACAUUUAGCUAUUAAUAAGUAUAACAAUAUACUUGUAGUAAGUUCAUUAUAUACUUAUAUGAUAUACAUAGAAUAUGUUAUUAACUCAUCAGUAAGUAUAAGAAAUCAUCGGCUGACUGUGGCCCCAAGUUGUCCCAGAGGGGAUUUGAAUUUUUGGGGGGUGUACACCACAGCAAUUUAUAAUUUUUAAGGGUUAUACUCCAUUUAUAGUUAUAUUGGCUGUAUUUCCUAUGAUUUACAAUACAUCCUUGUAGUUUAUUUAAUUUUUGCUUUUUAGGGCCACACCUACGGCAUAUGGAAGUUCCCAGGCUAGGGGUUGAAUGGGAGCUACAGCUGCCAGCCUACACCACAGCCACAGCAACUCGGGAUUUGAGCUGCAUCUGCAACCAACACCACAGCUCACAGUAACACUGGAUCCCCGACCCACUGAGCGAGGUCAGGGAUCAAACUCACAUCCUCAUGGAUACUCAUUGGAUUUUUUUCCACUGUAGCACAACAGGGAACUCCUAUUUUAUACUUAGUGGUUUGUACCUCUUAAUCCCCUACCCCUGUUGCCCUCCUUCCCUCUCCCUGGUAACCACUAGUUUAUUCUUGGUAUCUGUUUUGUUUUUUUUUUAAAUAUUCACUCAUUUGUUGUAUUUUUCAGAUUCCACAUAUAAGUGAUAUCACAUAGCAUUUGUCUUUCUCUGACUUAUAUCACUUAGCAUAAUGCCCUCUAAGUCCAUCCAUGUUGUUACAAAUGGCAACAUUUCCUUCUUAGGAGGCACAUGGGGGUUUAAUAAACCUACUGAGGAUAAAGCUCAGCAGCUGUUCCAUGCCCUAAGCAAGUUGUCUGCUGAUUUCUUAGCAUGAACAAUUAAACCUGAAAAUAAACUUUUUAUUAAAUGCAAAGCUAGAGUUAUUAAAAGUGGCAUAUACUGGGCUAUGACUUCACUGAUAAUUGAAUUAGUACACUGUCAUUUUUCUUUACUUUGCCUCAAUGUGUUCUUCAUUAAAGUGAAAAAAAUAACAAUUUUUAAAAAAGCAUAUUAUCCUUAAUCCAUUGCAUUAGCCUAGUUAUUAGUUAAAUCAUUGUUGGAAGGAAAAGUGGUCCCACUGCUGUUCUUCUAUUAAAUGACUAUAACUUUAAAUGAGCUGUAGCUAACGGAAGAGAGCUCAGACUGUCUUCUGAAACUGUAGCAGUUGCAAGAAAACAAAAAUACAGAAGUUCCAAUUACUUCCUAAUGUUCACUUCACAUAUCAUAUAUGAAAUCAAAUUCCAGAAAUUAUAAUGUCCAUUCCUGUGAAAUGGCUGCAAAUUCAACCUGGUUUUAAAAUUUUGUGUUGAAGAAAGAUUUUUUUUUUAAAAAAAAGAACUUAAAAUCUUUACCAAGCACCUGGUAGGUCUACUGAUGUUGUUUUUAGUUCUACUGACAAGCUCUAUAAAACACAGGUGCUUAGGAGUUCCCGUUGCGGCUCAGCAGUUAACGAACACGACUAGGAUUCAUGAGGAUGUGGAUUCGAUCCCUGGCCUCGUUCAGUGGGUUAAAGAUCUGGCGUUGCUGUGAGCUGUGGUAUAGGUUGCAGAAGCUGCUUGGAUCUGGUGUGUCUGUGACUGUGGUGUAGGCCAGCAGCUGUAGUUCUGAUUGGACCCCUUGCCUGGGAACCUCCAUAUGCCGCGGGUGUGGCCCUAGAAAAAUUAAAAAUAAAACAUAGGUGCUUAAAGUUGUUUUGUUUUUAAACAUUCUCACUCUAAGAUGGCACAAACUGUUAAGAAAGUAAUAUACUAAAACUAGGUAUUUGUAUUGCCAACCCAUAAUCCUGAAUAUCUUUUAUUCAGAACAUAGCUUGUGUAGCUUCCACUUGGUUCCUUAUUCAUUUUCUCCUUUCACUUUAUUAAAAUAAAUCAGUAAAACUAUCCACAAUUUAAGACAACAGCAAGGCCUAUAAAUGCAGGUUUCGGAUUCAAAUUUCUCUGGGAAAUGUUUUCCUUCCAAUUCUCUCUGCCCUGGGAUUUCAUGUUUUCCCUUUUAUUGGUGGCAUCCAAUACCUCCAAUUUUUAACAUUUUCAGACAUGUGUUUCUCUGUAGGUUAAAAGGAAGGAAGUUUAUUCAAACAGCUAAUUCCCAAGUUUAAAGUUCUCAUAUAAUGUAGUUUUUGCUCACGUCUCAAUGACAUAAUUCCCUAAGCUUAAACCAUCAAACAUGAUUACCUCUCUUUGUGCAAAAAGCCACAUACUACAAAUAGUUUUUGUCACAAAACGGUAUUCAUGUAUAAAAGAAAGAAUAGAUACAAGAUUUUACUUAUAAAAGAUUGCUAAAAUAUGUAGCUCCCUUAUAAUCAUAUACUGUUGAACUGCUCCAACUGACUAGUUCUCAACACCAUUUUCUCAGCAAACUUUGCUUUCUCUCUUCCUGCUAAGCAGAAACCUUAAAAAACAGAUCAGAAGCAUUUUAAUGAAGUAGAUGAAAACAGCCAAAAGUUCUUGAAGCCCUACAGAAAAACUGUAGAUGUGAUCAGGCCCUGACAUGUCACGUCUUCUGUACCCUCAUCGUCUCUCCUGCCCUAUUUCACAUACUCUGGUAAGUCGGUUCCUCUGGCUACUGGAUACGACCUGAGAUUUAAAAAGCAAAAACGCUGUCAUAAUACGCUUUGUAAAAUCUUGAAUGUCGUAAAGGAAGUGGAAGAGGCAUUUACCUACAGUGUGAUUUGGUUUUUGCCAUAAAAAAGCAAAUUUAAACCUGAGAAGUAAAGAGCCCAUUGACUGCAUUCACUUACAGGAGAACAAGACUUCCUGACAGAAGUUCAAAUGCACCCUACCCCGUGGGCUGGGGAGUGUUAUACACCCCACACUGUCUUGGGGUGAAGCAGGAUUAUGGCUACGACAAUACUCCACAGUGGCCAGAUGCCACAAGUACAGUCAGUAGCAACGGAGUCAUUUCUAAGUCAGCUACAGAAAGUAACCCCAAAUAUCACUUCCCUAGAAAUACUGGCCAGUGCUCUAUCGGGAAAAUAGAUUUUGAAGAAUGACCCAUAAAACUUCAAAAUUGAGACCCCAUUCCUUAUCAUUCAAUAGGAAAUUUAAAAAAGAAAACCGAAAGGAUUUCGCUUUCCUAACGCAUGGCUACUCCUCUGCUUGGUUGUUCUUAAAAAUAAUUUAUGUAAAGCAGGAUUUUCUCUAAAUAUACCGUGCUCUCUCAUACACAUUGCAAAUGAUAUUUGCAUACACCGAGUGUAUGCACUGAUACACACAUGGUAAAAAGUUAAAAAAUAUAGACUGCAUAAAUCAGAAGCUGAUUUUAAACAGACACCAACUUCAACAGAUUUGUUUGCAAUUUCUGAAUUCUUCAGGUAGAAAAGAUCUUUCUUGCUGGCUACGAUUGUAGAAGAUGUUUAUGUUCUAUAGAGUGUGCAAAAAUGCUUCUCCAUAUAAACAAAGAAAGAAAGGUUCCAGGAUCUUGGUAUUCUAACCUUGCCUUUGCUAUUAAAUAUCCAUCCAAUGACUGUGAGGAGACUGGUGAAAUCAGCCGGUCAUGCUACAGUAAACAUGGUAUUUUGUGCACUGCCCAAGACAUUUUUUCUCAUGAAUAUAAGUCACCUGCCAUUUAUUAUGAGAUUUUUUUUUCCCCGACUGACACCCCAUUAUGUAUAUUCAGUCAAGCUCAAACAAGAUUUCAAGUGAUCAAUACACUAUUGGUGCUGAAAGUCUAUUAGCCACUCUAGCAAUAAACUCUGCAGCGAAACGAAGAAUGGAGAAAUAUUUAGUGAACUGAAUUACACAGAAGUCCAUGUUUAGGGGCAAGGGAACAGAAAGAGGGAGGCAGAAAAGCAAGGGGAAGACAAGGGAAGGAAGACAUUUUUCCUAAUAAAAAUCAGCUUUCUGGAGCCUGACCAAUGAUCAAAUGCAUUAAAUGCCUAAGAAUUGUUUCAAAAAUAUCUUAAAUUACAUGGUGAGGUCUCUAAAGAAACAGGGAGGGGUCUUCCUCUGGGUCCCUUUCUGAGAACAGAGAGUUGCUUCCAUAAAGAACCAUACGUGGAAGUAUUUGAUAUCCCAAAGUGGAGAAGGCAGGCCGAUGGUAAAAUCCUGCACCAUCCAGUGUCUAUGUGUCCAAGAGCAAUGCCGUGUUUGAACACUUUUCACUUUAUAUCUGAAGCGUAGCAGAUCUCAACAGGGAGCUGAGCUCAAGAAGUAUUCUGGUUCAUCUAUGCAUUAGGAAAGCUAACUCAAUAGCCGCCAAAGGAUUUCACCUGGCACAAAAGAAUGCUGCU